AUUGAACGCUGGCGGCAGGCCUAACACAUGCAAGUCGAACGAGUGGCGGACGGGUGAGUAAUGUCUGGGAAACUGCCCGAUGGAGGGGGAUAACUACUGGAAACGGUAGCUAAUACCGCAUACCAUCGGAUGUGCCCAGAUGGGAUUAGGUAGUAGGUGGGGGAACGGCUCACCUAGGCGACGAUCCCUAGCUGGUAUAGGAGGGUGACACUCCCCCCUGGAACUGAGACACGGUCCACACUCCUCCUCACUGCCUCCUUUUGUCCUAUUCCAAUCUCUUCGCAAGCCGGAUUCAGCCAUGCCGCGUGUAUGAACACUUCCUUCUGUUUUUCAUGUACUUUCAGCGGGGAGGCGUUACCCGCAGAAGAAGCACCGGCUAACUCCGUGCCAGCAGCCGCGGUAAUUC
rnacentral:rRNA from 1 species